UGUGUGUGUGUGUGUGUGUGUACCCAUAAAUAUUUCAUUGUUUUAUCAUGAUUUAGGUGAUUUGAAAUAUUAGAAACAUUUUUUUCUUAUUAUAAAUCCAAUAAAUUUUUAUAGCAUUGGCAUCCUCAGGAAAAAAAAAAAUGGUUUAACUAUACUUUAUUAUGACAUUUUUUGAAUAUACAGCAUUGGCCCCUUCAAAAUAUAUAAUCAAUGAGUGAAGUUAAUCAUUUUUCGAAUCAAUAUUAUAUAUAACAUUGGCGUCCUUAAAAAAUAUUUUUUGGCUUUGCCCUUGGCUGAUCAUGAUUUUGACAAUGGAAUGUCCUUUGAUUCUCAUAUGGCAUUCUUACGAUGGUGUCUGAAGCUUACUUUUGAGAAGUAUGAUGUUUUUGGGGUUCAUCAUCCAAAAGAUCUUUUUCUUUUUAUUAGCAACCAUGGCCUAUACUUUGGUUAUACCUAAUUUUACUGUGUUAUCAUGGCUAGGACUUUGCAUGUAAAAUUUAACAUGAAAUUGAAAAAAAUUAAGCAACAUGUAAUUAUAAAUUUAGUGGCUGACUAUUAAUAGCUUCGUUUUGACAUGUGUAUUCUUCUGCAAUGGCAAUAUUAGAAGCAAUAUACAUAUAAAUUUAUGCAUAAAUAGAUUCAAUGGCUUGGCUGCAAACUUACCUAAUAACUAAAGUAUACACUAUGAUUGCAAAUUGGAAAAUUAAAUUUUUUUUUGGUGAUUGUCUCUUCUUUUACUAUAGAAUAUGUAAUGCAUUUUUUUUAUUGAGUUUGGAA
rnacentral:misc_RNA from 1 species